rnacentral:rRNA from 1 species
UACGGAGGGUGCUAGCGUUGUUCGGAAUUACUGGGCGUAAAGGGCGCGUAGGCGGCCUGGUCAGUCGGAUGUGAAGGCCCGGGGCUCAACCCCGGAACGGCAUCCGAGACGGCCAGGCUGGAGACCGGGAGAGGAGAGUGGAAUAGCCAGUGUAGAGGUGAAAUUCGUAGAUAUUGGCUGGAACACCGGUGGCGAAAGCGGCUCUCUGGCCCGGUUCUGACGCUGAGGCGCGAAAGCGUGGGGAGCAAACAGG